rnacentral:rRNA from 1 species
AGUGAACGCUGGCGGUAGGCCUAACACAUGCAAGUCGAACGGCAGCACAGAGGAGCUUGCUCCUUGGGUGGCGAGUGGCGGACGGGUGAGGAAUACAUCGGAAUCUACUCUGUCGUGGGGGAUAACGUAGGGAAACUUACGCUAAUACCGCAUACGACCUACGGGUGAAAGCAGGGGAUCUUCGGACCUUGCGCGAUUGAAUGAGCCGAUGUCGGAUUAGCUAGUUGGCGGGGUAAAGGCCCACCAAGGCGACGAUCCGUAGCUGGUCUGAGAGGAUGAUCCGCCACACUGGAACUGAGACCCGGUCCAGAAUCCUACGGGAGGCAGCAGUGGGGAAUAUUGGACAAUGGGCGCAAGCCUGAUCCAGCCAUACCGCGUGGGUGAAGAAGGCCUUCGGGUUGUAAAGCCCUUUUGUUGGGAAAGAAAUCCAGCUGGCUAAUACCCGGUUGGGAUGACGGUACCCAAAGAAUAAGCACCGGCUAACUUCGUGCCAGCCGCCGCCGUAA